rnacentral:rRNA from 1 species
UACGGGGGGGGCAAGCGUUGUUCGGAAUUACUGGGCGUAAAGGGUUUGUAGGUGGCCUGCUAAGUCAGACGUGAAAUCCCUCAGCUUAACUGGGGAACUGCGUCUGAGACUGGCAGGCUCGAGUGCAGGAGAGGAACGCGGAAUUCCAGGUGUAGCGGUGAAAUGCGUAGAUAUCUGGAGGAACACCGGUGGCGAAGGCGGCGUUCUGGACUGCAACUGACACUGAGUGAACGAAAGCCAGGGGAGCAAACGGG